rnacentral:rRNA from 1 species
AUGCUCGAGCGAGCAGGCAUUAAGGACUGCCAUGCCGUGCAUGCUCCAAUGGAGGCACGGCUGAAGCUCAGCAAGGAUAGCUCCGAGAAGGCGGUGGAUGCUACGCUCUACCGCAGCAUCAUCGGGAGCCUUAGCUAUCUCGUGCACACCCGACCGGACAUCACAUUCGUUGUCGGGUACCUGAAUAGGUUCAUGGAAGCUCCGGCAAGCGAUCACCUCGCUGCCGUCACCUACUCCGGUACAUCGCGGGUACGCUCACGCAUGGAUGCAUGUAUCGUCGUGGCGACGGCGAGAGCUUGGUCGGAUACAGCGACUUCGACCACGCUGGUGACGUGGACUCCCGGAAGAGUACCCCAGGCAUAUUGUUCCUUCUUGGGAAUAGUCCCGUCAGCUGGCAAUCGGUGA